CCCAGUUCGGAUUGUAGUCUGCAACCGACUACAUGAAGCUGGAAUCGCUAGUAAUCGCGGAUCAGAAUGCCGCGGUGAAUACGUUCCCGGGUCUUGUACACACCGCCCGUCACACCAUGGGAGUCGGAAAUGCCCGAAGUCUGUGACCUAACCGAGAGGGAGGAGCAGCCGAAGGCAGGUCUGAUGACUGGGGUGAAGUCGUAACAAGGUACC
rnacentral:rRNA from 1 species